AUUUAUAUAGUUUAAUAAAAACUUUACAUUUUCAUUGUAAAAAUAAAAAAAUUUUUUUUUUAUAAAUU
rnacentral:tRNA from 1 species